rnacentral:rRNA from 2 species
ACCCUUUAAUGUUUGAUGUUCUAACGUGGACCCGUAAUCCGGGUUGCGGACAGUGUCUGGUGGGUAGUUUGACUGGGGCGGUCUCCUCCUAAAGAGUAACGGAGGAGCACGAAGGUUGGCUAAUCCUGGUCGGACAUCAGGAGGUUAGUGCAAUGGCAUAAGCCAGCUUGACUGCGAGCGUGACGGCGCGAGCAGGUGCGAAAGCAGGUCAUAGUGAUCCGGUGGUUCUGAAUGGAAGGGCCAUCGCUCAACGGAUAAAAGGUACUCCGGGGAUAACAGGCUGAUACCGCCCAAGAGUUCAUAUCGACGGCGGUGUUUGGCACCUCGAUGUCGGCUCAUCACAUCCUGGGGCUGAAGUAGGUCCCAAGGGUAUGGCUGUUCGCCAUUUAAAGUGGUACGCGAGCUGGGUUUAGAACGUCGUGAGACAGUUCGGUCCCUAUCUGCCGUGGGCGCUGGAGAACUGAGGGGGGCUGCUCCUAGUACGAGAGGACCGGAGUGGACGCAUCACUGGUGUUCGGGUUGUCAUGCCAAUGGCACUGCCCGGUAGCUAAAUGCGGAAGAGAUAAGUGCUGAAAGCAUCUAAGCACGAAACUUGCCCCGAGAUGAGUUCUCCCUGAGACUUAGAGUCUCCUGA